rnacentral:rRNA from 1 species
AACGAACGCUGGCGGCAUGCCUAACACAUGCAAGUCGAACGAGACCUUCGGGUCUAGUGGCGCACGGGUGCGUAACGCGUGGGAACCUGCCCUUAGGUUCGGAAUAACUCCCCGAAAGGGGUGCUAAUAACGGAUAAUGUCUUCGGACCAAAGAUUUCUCGCCUUUGGAUGGGCCCGCGUUGGAUUAGCGAGUUGGUAGGGUAAAAGCCUACCAAGGCGACGAUCCAUAGCUGGUCUGAGAGGAUGAUCAGCCACGCUGGGACUGAGACACGGCCCAGACUCCUACGGGAGGCAGCAGUGGGGAAUAUUAGACAAUGGGCGAAAGCCUGAUCCAGCAAUGCCGCGUGAGUGAUGAAGGCCUUAGUGUUGUAAAGCUCUUUUACCCGGGAUGAUAAUGACAGUACCGGGAGAAUAAGCUCCGGCUAACUCCGUG